rnacentral:rRNA from 1 species
UACGUAGGGACCAAGCGUUGUUCGGAUUUACUGGGCGUAAAGGGCGCGUAGGCGGUCGUGACAAGUCACUUGUGAAAUCUCCGGGCUUAACUCGGAACGGUCAAGUGAUACUGUCGGACUAGAGUACAGAAGGGGCAACUGGAAUUCUCGGUGUAGCGGUGAAAUGCGUAGAUAUCGAGAGGAACACCUGCGGCGAAGGCGGGUUGCUGGGCUGAUACUGACGCUGAGGCGCGAAAGCCAGGGGAGCGAACGGG